AGAGAAGCCACCAGCUGCUGGGGUGUCUGGGCUGUGACUGCUGAGAGUGGAGCCCGAGGCUCUGAGCCUCUCACUUGCUCUCCCCAAGUUGGCUGCUUGGCAGCCUCCAGAUUCAUUGUGAUUAUCCCAGCCCAGUCGCUGAGGAUCAACUUUGUACAAUUCAGAAGACUCAAGUUCACUUACACACACCUACAUAGUGAGUGGCUCAAAACCAUCUAGAAUUCCAGUCCCAAUGGAUAUGACACCAUCUUCUGGCUUCUGAGGACACCAGAUUUUACAAGUGGUACACAGAUAUACAUGCAGGAAGAAAGAAUAUGGCCAGCACCUUGGUCACUUGGGCGCUGAAUCAGGGGACAACCCCAAGGUCCCUAGAGGACUCUCCACAGGAUCUUAUGACCACCGUCCCAGAAUCACCUAAAGAAAGCACCUAAAGAAAUGUUCAACAUCCUUAGUCAUCAGAGAAACGCAAACCAAAACAAUCCUGAGAUUCCACCUCACACAAGUCAGAAUGGCUAAGAUCAAAAACUCAGGUGACAGCAGAUGCUGGCAAGGAUGUGGAGAAAGAGGAACACUCCUCCAUUGUUGGUGGGACUGCAAACUGGAACAACCACUCUGAAAAUCAGUCUGGCAGUUCCUCAGAAAAUUAAACAUAGACCCGAGAACCCAGAUAUGCAACUCCUGGGCGUAUAUCCAAAAGAUGGGCCAACAUAUAACAAGGACACAUGUGCCACUAUAUUCAUAGCAGCCUUAUUUAUAAUAGCCAGAACCUGGAAAGAACCCAGCUGUCCAUCAACAGAGUGAUGGAUACAGAAACUGUGGUACAUUUACACAGUGGAGCACUACUCCACUAUUAAAAACAAUGACUUCAUAAAAUUCGCAGGAAAAUGGAUGGAACUAGAAAAUAUCGUCAUGAGUUAGGUAAAACAGCCACAAAAGAAAAUACAUGGUAUGCAUUCACUGAUAAGUGGAUAUUAACCAAAAAGAAGGUUGGAAUACCCAUGAUACAACAUACAGGCUAUAAGAAGCUAAAUAAAUAAAUAAAUAAAUAAAUAAAUAAAUAAAUAAAUAA
rnacentral:lncRNA from 1 species